CGCCUUGCCAGCCCGCUCAGAAACUACAAAGGAAAGUUGACGGGGGCCCGGCACAAGCGGUGGAGUAUGUGGUUUAAUUCGAUGCAACGCGAAGAACCUUACCUGGUCUUGACAUCCCGGAGACCCUUAGGAAACUAGGGGGUGCUUCCAUCUGGAAGAAUCUGGAGACAGGUGCUGCAUGGCUGUCGUCAGUUCGUGUCGUGAGAUGUUGGGUUAAGUCCCGCAACGAGCGCAACCCUUGCCUUUAGUUGCCAGCAGUUCGGCUGGGCACUCUAAAGGGACUGCCGGUGUUAAACCGGAGGAAGGUGGGGAUGACGUCAAGUCCUCAUGGCCUUUAUGACCAGGGCUACACACGUACUACAAUGGCCGAUACAAAGGGCAGCGACACUGCGAGGUGAAGCCAAUCCCGUAAAAUCGGUCUCAGUCCGGAUUGGAGUCUGCAACUCGACUCCAUGAAGUUGGAAUCGCUAGUAAUCGUGGAUCAGCAUGCCACGGUGAAUACGUUCCCGGGCCUU
rnacentral:rRNA from 1 species